GGCAUCCAAGGGGAGAGGUAGGAUGGUCAUUUCACUGCUUCAUGUGAGAGGGUAUAAUUUCCCGUUUUAUAGCAUCUUUCAGCAGAAAACCGGAGAAGAACCAGAAAAAUCUGUGAAAAAUAGGGUGGGUCUUUUUAAUUUUCCACCGGUUCGACCACUAGGUAGCCUGGAUUUGAAAACUGUGGUUUGAAAUUUGAAUCUGAGGGUCUAGACUCUAGACGGUUCACCCGGUUUCGUAAACUCAGACCAGAUGUUGAAGUUUGCCAACCUAGAAAUAGAUCCAAGGAAGGAACCUUCAUCUUGGGCCGGCGGUUGAACUGUCGUACUACUGCGCGGCAAAGUAGUCGAGAACUCGAGAUAUGAAUCGUACUCGGCCAUAUGAAUUUGUAAACCCUAACCCUAGUUUUCCAUGUUUCAGUUCAUUGUAGAAGCGAAAAGGAUUCUGUACUUUUUGUUCAUAAGAGAAUAUAAUCGAAGAGAUGAUAUCUACUGCGGAGUUCCGAUCUGCAAGGUCUGCGACUUUUCAGUUGCUUCUUUGAGCUCAACUGCUUCAAAAAUUUCUUAUUGUUGAUUCAAAUGUUGCUCUUAAUCAGUUUUGAUUUUCAGAUUGACUUGUUGGAGAAUCCGGUGAUUGAUGAUGUCUAUGUGCUCUCGGUGGUUCUGGGAGAGGUGAAGGCACUUUUCAGAAAUUAUCUAAGGAGAUUCUUUGUCUUUUCCAAUAAGCACCAAAAGUAUAAAUGCAAUGGUCAACCCAGUUGCACAAUUAGGGGCGUUCAAAAACCUUAAGGAUAGUAUCAUUUUGAUACGACUCAACUCAAAUUCUGUUUGUUCCUAAUUCAAGAAGAAAGAUUUACCAUGAUGCUGUGAGUUCGUACAUCAUCCAUGUGCAAAUGCAACAUAUCCAGAUAAGUCUUGUACUCUGCCCUUGUUUAAUUUCUUACAGUUUUGACACAGAUUUUGUGGGUACUAAUGUACUAUUGCUAAUGCAAUCUGAAAAUCCGGAUUAUAAAUCUCAAAUGCAAGCAGACCCAAUGAUCAAAUGUAUGAUCAGAUCUGAGAUAAGGGAAGUAAAUGCAUUGUUGAAGAAAUUAAAUGGAUAGAAUGGGAGAGAAAAGAGAUGAGAUAGAUCUGGUUGGGAGGAAGAACAGAACGUAAGAAAUCAGGUGGGAGGGUAAAUUGUAUCAUCAGGACAUAUCGGAAGAGUGGGUCUGGUGAGAGGAAACCCAGAGCACCAGCAACCUUAACAACUCCAAUCCCAAUCACAGGAAGUAUCAAGUACCGCACUAAAAUGACUCCAAUGAUGAUCGAUGGCUUCAAAUUUGCUGAGUGAAGACCUGGUUAAACAAAACAAAUUAUAGUAACAGUACUUGUGUUCAAAUACAUGAUAUUCAAUUCAUUGGAAAAAGAUUUAAGAUCAAUAUUUUACCUUGGGUGAGGUUACCCCCAAGUACAAGGGUGAUGCUAGGAAUUGUGCCAUCCCUACACAGUUGGAUGUUUUUAUGUCAAAUAGAAGAACUAGAAUUCAACUGAGAAUUGAAGGAGAUGACAAUGACUAGCUCAAAUUGAUCAUUUCAGUUUUA